CUGGUGUGAAUGUCAGCGAAUAACCUGAAGGCAGGACAUGCAGGGAGCACCGUUUCAUUGCUCUUUGCUAGGUACAAGUGCCUUGAACAUAGUGCGAGCACGUCUAAUGGAGCACUGUGAUUGUUGGGGACAGUUUUCCAAUUCCCCGAAAGGGUUCUAAGACGGAGAAAGUCGGAAAGGACCUAAAUAUUGGUACUGUCCCACUAAAAUCAGGCCGGUUGGGAGGUCUGCAAUUGGGCAACAAACUGUCCAAGGAUAUCCUUAGAAGAUCAAUUUACAGGCCGGUUCACAUAAGGAACAAUAAGCCGACAGGCCUGUUAACACCUACUGAAUAUUUCUGAUUGGAAACGGUCUGCAGUAUCUUGCAGCAUCCUUAUCUUUUGGGAUAGCAGAUAAAAAAAAAUAAAAAAUAGGUGGCUUAGCCUGUUUUAUGUAUCUUGUUUACGUGUGCCAUGAUUUACCAGUUGAAGUUUAAUUACAAUCAGUGUGUCAACAAAACUGGGAUGACACAUCCUGCAAAAAGUUAUACCCCUGCCCAAAUGUCUUGCCCUGUUUCAGCCAACCUGAAUGGAAUGUUAACGAAAAUGACAUGGGAAUUGGUUUUCUUGUUCACAAGCCAUGGUCUCCUAAAAAAAAAAAAAUGCAUUAUGCAUAAUAUCAGAUUGAGUGUUUCAGCACAAAGUGGGUAAGAUUGUAGCAAAAUAGGGCAUUGCAUCUGCAAAGUUCUCUACAAUCUCAUGCUGUGAC